rnacentral:rRNA from 1 species
UAAGGAAUAUUGGUCAAUGGACGCAAGUCUGAACCAGCCAUGCCGCGUGAAGAAUGAAGGUCCUCUGGAUUGUAAACUUCUUUUAUCUGGGACGAAAACGGGAUUUUUAUCUCAAUUGACGGUACCAGAGGAAUAAGCACCGGCUAACUCCGUGCCAGCAGCCGCGGUAAUACGGAGGGUGCGAGCGUUAUCCGGAUUUACUGGGUUUAAAGGGUGCGUAGGUGGGCUUAUAAGUCAGUGGUGAAAUCUCCGAGCUUAACUUGGAAACUGCCGUUGAUACUAUAGGUCUUGAAUUAUCUGGAGGUCAGCGGAAUAUGUCAUGUAGCGGUGAAAUGCUUAGAUAUGACAUAGAACACCAAUUGCGAAGGCAGCUUACUACAUAUAAAUUGACGCUGAGGCACGAAAGCGUGGGGAUCAAACA